rnacentral:rRNA from 1 species
AGAGUUUGAUCCUGGCUCAGAUUGAACGCUGGCGGCAGGCCUAACACAUGGCAAGUCGAGCGGUAGAGAGAAGCUUGCUUCUCUUGAGAGCGGCGGACGGGUGAGUAAUGCCUAGGAAUCUGCCUGGUAGUGGGGGAUAACGUCCGGAAACGGACGCUAAUACCGCAUACGUCCUACGGGAGAAAGCAGGGGACCUUCGGGCCUUGCGCUAUCAGAUGAGCCUAGGUCGGAUUAGCUAGUUGGUGAGGUAAUGGCUCACCAAGGCGACGAUCCGUAACUGGUCUGAGAGGAUGAUCAGUCACACUGGAACUGAGACACGGUCCAGACUCCUACGGGAGGCAGCAGUGGGGAAUAUUGGACAAUGGGCGAAAGCCUGAUCCAGCCAUGCCGCGUGUGUGAAGAAGGUCUUCGGAUUGUAAAGCACUUUAAGUUGGGAGGAAGGGCAGUUGCCUAAUACGUAACUGUUUUGACGUUACCGACAGAAUAAGCACCGGCUAACUCUGUGCCAGCAGCCGCGGUAAUAC